AAACCAGCACCUCAAGUGGUCAGGAUGAUUAUUGGGCCUAAAGCAUCCGUAGCCGGCUCUGUAAGUUUUCGGUUAAAUCUGUACGCUUAACGUACAGGCUGCCGGGAAUACUGCAGAGCUAGGGAGUGGGAGAGGUAGACGGUACUCGGGAGGAAGUGGUAAGAUGCUUUGAUCUCUCGAUGACCACCUGUGGCGAAGGCGGUCUACCAGAACACGUCCGACGGUGAGGGAUGAAAGCUGGGGGAGCAAACCGGAUUAGAAACCCCUGUAGUCC
rnacentral:rRNA from 1 species